rnacentral:snRNA from 1 species
UGGAACAAUGUAGGCAAG